ACGUCAGAACUGUUUCGGUCUUCCAUCAGGGUUUCCCCUGACUUCAACCUGAUCAAGUAUAGUUCACCAUCUUUCGGGUCACAGCAUAUAUGCUCAAGGUACGUUCCAGUUAGAGGUAUAAAUAAUAUAAAUAUCAUCAUACAUAACUAUAUAGAGCGCCCCGGGAUUGUGUUAAUUAACUAUAAAUAGCUAAAAAACUAAUCCCAUUAAUAGUCAAGUUAAUUACGCUAUUAGGUUU
rnacentral:rRNA from 1 species